GCUUAAACCAAAGCAUGAUGCUGAAGAUAUCAAGACGGGUACCCUCCCCAAGGACA
rnacentral:tRNA from 1 species